rnacentral:rRNA from 1 species
UACGAGUGGUGCAAGCGUUAUUCGGAUUUAUUGGGCGUAAAGGGUGCGUAGACGGUGUAACAAGUCUGUUGUUAAAUUCCUCGGCUCAACCGAGGAUCUGCGAUGGAAACUGUUAUGCUAGAGGAUGGAAGAGAGAAGUGGAAUUCUUGGAGUAGCGGUAAAAUGCGUAGAUCUCAAGAGGAACACCAAUGGCGAAGGCAGCUUCUUGGUCCACUCCUGACGUUGAGGCACGAAAGCGUGGGGAGCAAACAGG